rnacentral:rRNA from 1 species
UACGUAGGGGGCAAGCGUUAUCCGGAUUUACUGGGUGUAAAGGGAGCGUAGACGGCGGUGCAAGUCUGAUGUGAAAGCCCGGGGCUCAACCCUGGAACUGCAUUGGAAACUGUACUGCUAGAGUGCAGGAGAGGUAAGCGGAAUUCCUAGUGUAGCGGUGAAAUGCGUAGAUAUUAGGAGGAACACCAGUGGCGAAGGCGGCUUACUGGACUGUAACUGACGUUGAGGCUCGAAAGCGUGGGGAGCAAACAGG